rnacentral:tRNA from 1 species
GCCGGAGUGGUGGAAUUGGUAGACACGCCGGACUCAAAAUCCGGUGGGAGUUGAUCUCGUGUGGGUUCGAGUCCCACCUCCGGCACCA